rnacentral:rRNA from 1 species
ACCUGUUUGAUCAUGACAGUUUUAUAUGCUUCUCUAAAAGAUUAAGCCAUGCAAAUGUAAGAAAGUACUACUUGAAUUAGUAAAUUUUAUUUGAAUGUGGAAACUAGAAACAGUUUCAAAUAUUUAGGUGGAUAAUUGUGGGAAAACUAGAAAUAAUACAUGCGAAAAGAGGAGACUGUGGCAACACGGAAUCCUUGCAUUAACUAGUUGUUUUCAAGAGGUGUACAUUACACUUUUGAUGAUGAACUACAGUUUACUAAAUAGCAGAUUGAUAAUCUUUUUUAUCAACGCUUCAUUCAAAUUUCUGCUUUAUCAAUUAACGUUGGUACGGUAUUGGCGUACCAUGGUUAUAACGAGUAAGGAAUUCUAUGGGAAUGAUUCCUGAGAUUUCGCCUGAGAAAUAGCGAAAAUAUCUAAGGAUAGCAGCAGGCGCGAAAAUUACCCAAUGCAAAAACUGCGAGGUAGUGACAAGAAAUAACGACAGGAUUAUUUCAGUUAUAAAAAUAACUGAAAACCUGAUUGCAAUGAGUACAAUUUAAAAAUAUUAAUUAGAAUCAAUUUGAGGGCAAGUUCUGGUGCCAGCAGCCGCGGUAAUUCCAGCUCAAAUAGUGUAUAUUAAAAUUGUUGUAAUUAAAAAGUUUGUAGUUUGAAGUUAUCACAAUUCAAUAAAAAUGGAUGGAAGUAACGAUUUAUUUCUGUCCAAUGAGUUGUGAUAUUAAGCGAACAAAGAAUCAUCUAUUCUCUGAAAGGAGGAUGGGUGAAAUCUAUUCUUUGUUCAUUUUACCAUAAAUAAAAUAGAGUGUUUAAAGCAUGUCAUUUAUUGACAAUUGAAUAAUUUAGUAUGGGAUAAUGAAAGACGAGAGAAAAAAGAGAGUACAUCUCGCAGCAUCAGGGGGGGAUUCGUCUCUUUUUUGGUGUUGGUCUUUUUUCUCUAAUGAUUAAUAGGGACAAUUGGGGCAAUUAGUAUUUCUACUCGAGCGGUGAAAUGCAUAGACAGUAGAAAGACUAAC